GACGAACGCUGGCGGCGUGCCUAAUACAUGCAAGUAGAACGCACAGUUUAUACCGUAGCUUGCUACACCAUAGACUGUGAGUUGCGAACGGGUGAGUAACGCGUAGGUAACCUGCCUGGUAGCGGGGGAUAACUAUUGGAAACGAUAGCUAAUACCGCAUAAUAUUAAUUACUGCAUGAUAAUUCAUUGAAAGGUGCAAUUGCACCACUACCAGAUGGACCUGCGUUGUAUUAGCUAGUAGGUGAGGUAACGGCUCACCUAGGCGACGAUACAUAGCCGACCUGAGAGGGUGAUCGGCCACACUGGGACUGAGACACGGCCCAGACUCCUACGGGAGGCAGCAGUAGGGAAUCUUCGGCAAUGGACGAAAGUCUGACCGAGCAACGCCGCGUGAGUGAAGAAGGUUUUCGGAUCGUAAAGCUCGGUUGUAAGAGAAGAACGGGUGUGAGAGUGGAAAGUUCACACUGUGACGGUAUCUUACCAGAAAGGGACGGCUAACUACGUG
rnacentral:rRNA from 1 species